GGAUUAGAUACCCUGGUAGUCCACGCCGUAAACGAUGGUCACUAGCUGUUCGGACUUCGGUCUGAGUGGCUAAGCGAAAGUGAUAAGUGACCCACCUGGGGAGUACGUUCGCAAGAAUGAAACUCAAAGGAAUUGACGGGGGCCCGCACAAGCGGUGGAGCAUGUGGUUUAAUUCGAUGAUACGCGAGGAACCUUACCAGGGCUUAAAUGUAAGUUGCAUAGACCAGAGAUGGUCUUUUCUUCGGACUACUUACAAGGUGCUGCAUGGUUGUCGUCAGCUCGUGCCG
rnacentral:rRNA from 1 species